CACACACAUACACAUACACAUACACACACACACACACACACACACACACACACGGCAUAACUUAGUCUGCUCCACCCUGUUUUUCGAGAAACGCCAGAGGGAAAUAGUCAAUUGACAGUUGAAUGGCUGUUUCACAAGCAACGGCAGUAAGAAAUGAGGUUGGUGUGUUCAAAGCACACACACGUUGAAGGUGCAGGUUUUCGUACACACACACACACACACACCCACAACUUGCCAUUCAGCGUGUACCUUUUGCUCCAGAGCUGUGUUGACCCCAGCUCCUCUCUCUCCCUCGCUCUCUCCGUGCUGCUUGUCUGUGUCUCUCUGCCACGUGGAAUAAGUGGCUGGGUGCUUGGCUCGGUGCUCAGGGACCUGGCCACCCUGACUGUGGUCGCUGAGCUCGGGCUCCCAGCAGGCGGAGGAGUGGCUGUAGCUCCAGCAGUUAGCGGGCUGCUGCUCACUGUUUGGCUCUCUGACCCGUGUUUUGGUUACCGAGGCGCUGGGCUUGUGCGCUGCUACGCUGCUGGCGGGAUGUUUAUCAAACAGCAGUAGAGCUGCUCGGAUCGGGACUCUUCUCUCGCUCCUUGAGGACGGAGAGGAGAUACGACAUGAGUGACUUUCACUACAGAGGAAGACACAGUGCUGACGGGCGGAGGGACAGGCCGAAGAGCGUCGGACCCAUGACAGAUCUCUCGUGUCCCGAGGUGGAGCGCGGCUCUCCUGUACAGAUGCAGAGCCUGCGGGAGUUUGAACAGCACCAGCGGUCUAGCUCCACUGCCGUCUGCCGCAGGAGAGACAGGGGUCUGUCUCCACUGCCGUCCGCCGCAGGAGAGACAGGGGUCUGUCUCCACUGCCGUCUGCCGCAGGAGAGACAGGGGUCUGUCUCCACUGCCGUCCGCAGGAGAGACAGGGGUCCAUCUCCACUGCCGUCCGCCGCAGGAGAGACGGGGGGAUUUUAGAACUCUUUGAACUUCUAUUCACUGGAAUAUUUUUUACUAAAACAGAGCAAUUAGAAUUACUAUUUUUUACAGUCUAUUUUGGACAUAUUUUAAAUAGUAAAAACAACAAACAAAUAUAAAUGUAUAUGUAGCUUCAUGGGCAAUUAUUGUGUAUAUAUUAUUAUUUUUAUACAUUUUGGAAAAUAAAUAUAAGCAAAACCUUUAAUGUUAAUUAUUUCAUGAUCAGAUGUCAUGAAUUCUGAGUGAUAUUGUUGAGAAUAAUUUUAAUUAUUAUUAUAUUAGCUUUUAAACACAAAGACCUGAGGUGUAGAUGUUUGGACAAUCGGGAUCUUCCACUGUCAUUCCUCUCCUCGUUUAAAGCUGAUAAUGAUACCUAACAUUGAAUAAUGCUAUUGUAUUGUGUUAGGCUAAUAUUAAUUUUGGAAUAUGUCACAGAUAACUCCAGCUUGUACCGCCUGCAUAGAAAUAAAUCCAAUUACAUAACCAUUACAAAUGUCAGAAAAUAAAUCUUCUAGUUGAUUUGAUUUCCACACACUGACGACACUGCUAUUUCUGAUUGCUGUCGUGAAUGUUUAAUCCUCUUUAUGGUUCUUGUGGUGUAAGAAGCCAUGAAUCAGGGCUGGAAAACUAAAAAUAAAUGUCAUACUGACUCAGAAAUGUUACACAUCAUCCUUAAAUGCAUGUACAAUUAUGUGCUUAUUUUUAUUGCAUCAAAGCAGUUGUGAG
ensembl:lncRNA